rnacentral:sRNA from 1 species
CUGUCUCGCUCACCUGUGGCCAUCCUGGGCAGCCCCCAGCCUGUGUGAUGGGGUGGGGCCUCUGGAGGGGACUGUGUCAGCUCUGGGCUCCCCUGCAGGGUUGGAGCUGAAUCAGGGUCUGCCAGGCCUCCUUGUAUCCACGUGUUUGGGGCCGAGAGCUCCAGUGGGUCCUGUGGCCGAGGUAGUGAGACGGGAGGAAGAUGGUGGAGGUGGGUGCAGGCAGGAGGCUGCGUGGAUGCCCUGUGGACCCGGCCGUGUCACCCAGGCCUGCAGAGAGAGGCUUCCAGACCAGCCUCCUCAGACCCCAAUCCUGGAACCAUCUGUGAAGGGGAGCCCGUGUGCUGUCUACGCUAGGACACAGUAGACCCCGGAGAAGGGAAGGCUGCCCAGGCACGUGGCCGAGGAGCUCCAGCACCUGCUGCAAUGGCUGAUGGGUGCUCCCGCCGGGCUCAAGAUGAACCGUGCACUGGACCAGGUGCUGGGCCGCUUCUUCCUCUACCACAUCCACCUGUGGAUCAGCUACAUCCACCUCAUGUCCCCCUUCGUGGAGCACAUCCUUUGGCACGUGGGCCUCUCG